rnacentral:rRNA from 1 species
UACAGAGGUCCCAAGCGUUGUUCGGAUUCACUGGGCGUAAAGGGUGCGUAGGUGGCCGAGUAAGUCUGACGUGAAAUCUCCAAGCUCAACUUGGAAACUGCGUCGGAUACUAUCCGGCUAGAGGAUCGGAGGGGAGACUGGAAUACUUGGUGUAGCAGUGAAAUGCGUAGAUAUCAAGUGGAACACCAGUGGCGAAGGCGAGUCUCUGGACGAUUCCUGACACUGAGGCACGAAAGCCAGGGGAGCAAACGGG